ensembl:lncRNA
UGUCACUACUGCCCAUGGGUAAAGAUGCAAUAAACAAAUAAAGGCCAUGCACUUCAAUCUAAUCAAAAGAGUAUAGGAAAUGCAAACAUCUUCCAAGGGUGGCAAUCCAUCCUACUCUAGGUGAUUUCAGUGAUUAUACAAAAACCCCAUAACUUGAAAGUCAUUUCUACACCCAGCUCAUGUCCCCACCAAACACCCCAGUCAGCCAAUGGCUUGGUAUAUACUGUGUCUGUCAUCAUAAAGGACACUGGCUAUUAAUUUCAACUCUUGAAAAUACUUUAAAGAGUAAAAGUUUCCCUACAAAGGCAGUGGAGUGUGACAGGAAGAAUUUAGUAGCUUGACUUUCACAGAAUUUUUAGUAGAGCUUUAUUGUCAGUGAUUUCUUUUCUUAUUAUAAUUCUCCUCAUUACUAUUUUCACACCACUCCAAAAUCAAGCUUUCAGCUGUGAAUGUGUUGUGGGUGGCUGAUUAAAUAAUGUAUUUUUACAAAAAUUUUGAUAAUAAAUCUUGAAUCUUUAUCUUCCAGGUACCAGAGAAGGACCCCCAAAAGACAGAAAAACUCCAUAAGAAAAUCACUAUGGACACCAUGUGGUGCUGCUGAUAACUACACAAACUCUCAUAGCACUUUGGUGCUAGGAAUACAUUAUGGCAAGAUUAAAACUGGUGCAUGUCAGGAAAAGGAAUUAUUCCAGCAACCCUCUAAGACUGGAAAGAGAAUCGGAGGGGACAUACAACAUGCAUACCAUAUAAUUGGGAAGCGGUUCAGGAAGCUGCCACGUCUGUAGGGCUCCAGCGCACAAAAGGAGGCGGAGGUAGCAGGAAUACCUUCUACUUGACGAACUUGGAAAUUCUGGUGCCACAUCAGCAGGAGCACGGCCCAGCACAGCACUCUUCAGUCACUGCAGAGCUGAAAUGCACCACAGAAGUGAUUCAAGGCACAAAACUACCCAAAUGCCUGCUAAUAUCUGCCCUUCUGCCCCUCACAUCUCAGUCAGCAGGAGAUGGUACACACUUUAAACCUCUAUUUACCACAAAGUGCCUAAUUCCAUUUAGUAUACUAGGAAAUUCCCAACUCUAUAUCCAAAAGCCUCUCAGCCAGCUUCUCUGUGAAUCAUAGAACUGAGGCACAGUGAGACUGAGGAUAUAUCAAGACCAUGCAGUACGAUUUCACAACCUUGUACCUGACCUGACUUGGGAGCCAAAGCCUAGCAGACAGAGAGAGCCAAUGCGGCUCCUACCCUAAGGAGACCCAGGUCCCAAUGGCUUCUGGUUCUAGAACUAAUUCAGGAAUGUCUGUAUGAUGUUGUGACUGCCAUGAAGACAUAAAUGUCAUUCUUGGCUAGCUUUGGUUCCGUUGUGCUCACAUUCUGAGUAGCCAGCAUACAGGAAACUCGAGCUUUUUUGUCCCAGAGGUUGGGAGAGGGACUUUGAGCCACAUGUAUGGGACGCCUUACCUGGGUUUGGGCCCAUUGCGUAGCUUUUUAACAGAGUGAGUUCAUUUAUAAACAGUGAAACGUAUUUCCAAUUCUAUGCACUAUGAAGAGGUGAUCCAGGAAAAAUUCAUGAUUGUAUUAGCAAGGCCAAACAGUGACCACUUGUAUGGACACUUACUGUAGGGGUAGCAGCACAAGUACGAGCAUCCCAUUUAUCUGCUCAACCCCUAAAAGCAGCGAAGUGUGAAUUAAAGAAAACCUUUGAUUCAUGCACCUUUUUACACCUAUUUAACCAUAUAUCUGAAAUAAGACUGUGUGUACACAGAGCCAUGGCUCUACCUAUUUCAGACAUGAUAUAUUUGAGGACAGAAGAGCCUGUAGAAGUGUCUGCUGUAAAAACCAUCCUUGGAACCUAUGAGAGCUGGCAUCAUAUGCUGAUUAUUAACAUUUAUAUUCACAUGUACUUGGGAUGUUGAAACAUGCAGAAAAGAAGAGGGACAUAUAACGACUUAACAGGGACUAUAAAAAGCUUAUGUUGGAAGCAAAAAGGAGAAACAAAUAUCAGAAUUCAGAGAAAAAUGUAAGAAAUAAGUGAAGUCUCCCCCCCCACAAAAGUAUAUUUUAUCUAGACAGAAGCAAGUUGAUUUAGAUGUUUAAAGCUGGAAAUUAAUGUAUUCAAUUACUAUUUUUCAAAUAUUUUCAAAAAGUUUGAAGGAAGCCAUAAAUACAGCUACACAGAAGAGUGUUGGAUCAUCUAGAAAAUAAAUACAGUUGUGGACUGUUCUCA